AAAUGGCAAGCCCUGAGACAAGCUACAGUCCAGAUGCCUGAACCUAGGAUCUCGUCGUCUUAUUUUGGAUGGAGGCUGCAAAGUCUGGUCUGUUGAAAAAUCACCCUGAAGUGGUUCGGAUGUAGGUGAUGCAACAUCAAGGGGAGGAAUCCCUAACAUUGUCACCAUUGGAAUUGAAGAAACAACCACUUGUUCUGUAGUAAUGGGAGUUGAUUCGAGAGUGUCUUCCAUAUCCCUACUCUCCGUUGCUAUGUGAGCAACAUCACUGAGAUUAUCUAGCAGCGAGUUUGUCAUACCCCAAAACCGGAACGGCAGAAACUUUCUGGGGUGGAUGACAUCAUGUCAAGUAUCACAACGUAUGCAGUAUAGUAAUCAAAGUACAACAACCAUUGCAUUAAUAGUAAUAGUUUUACAUAAGUUAUAAUUCAUAGCAACAUCAUAGUAAUACAAGUAACAAUAUAGGUGCAGCUUGGUACUAAACUGUCUUCACCAAAAGCUCCUCGGAUGUACCUGUCUAUUGCUAACCUGAGAAUACAAGUUAUAUUGAAAGCGAGUAUCAGCAUUUUUAUAAAUGCUGGUGAGUUCAUAAGUAUUUAGUGUCAUUUGUGUAAGUAAGCAUUUUAUCCAAAAUAACUUUAUAAAAAGUAGUAGUUUAGAGUCUACAGUGUAUUAGAGUCCUUUCCAGAAAAUCCUAUAUUUUCUAAUUAAAAGCAGUCUUCAACCAAGACUCGACAGUGUUAUGUUUUAAAGAGAAAUUUUCCCUGAAAUGUUAUCAUUACCAAAAUAUGGUAUUUGACUUUAAAAAAGUAGGAGAAUAUCACUAGUAAAAGUACUAAUGGAAAAUAACAUAUGCCUCAGCAGAAAAUACUGUUGACUAAGGCAAAGAAGUCAUAGACUACAGGAGAGUAUCGACUGAAUGAUACGCCUGGCUCAGUCUAACAAAAGGAAACACAGACCCCAGAUGGUAUCAAAUGUACGAUACGGCUAGCAAGGUCUAAAACAAAGAAACACAGACCCCAGACAAUAUCAAAUGAAAGAUACAGCUAGCAAGGCCUAAAACAAAGAAACACAGACCCCAGACAUUAUCAAAUGAAAGAUACAGCUAGCAAGGUCUAAAACAAAGAAACACAGACCCUAGACAGUAUCAAAUGAAAGAUACAGCUAGCAAGGUCUAAAACAAAGAGUGAUC
rnacentral:lncRNA from 1 species